AUGAACGCUAGCUACAGGCUUAACACAUGCAAGUCGAGGGGCAGCAUGGUCUUAGCUUGCUAAGACUGAUGGCGACCGGCGCACGGGUGAGUAACACGUAUCCAACCUGCCGUCUACUCUUGGACAGCCUUCUGAAAGGAAGAUUAAUACAAGAUGGCAUCAUGAGUCCGCAUGUUCACAUGAUUAAAGGUAUUCCGGUAGACGAUGGGGAUGCGUUCCAUUAGAUAGUAGGCGGGGUAACGGCCCACCUAGUCUUCGAUGGAUAGGGGUUCUGAGAGGAAGGUCCCCCACAUUGGAACUGAGACACGGUCCAAACUCCUACGGGAGGCAGCAGUGAGGAAUAUUGGUCAAUGGGCGAGAGCCUGAACCAGCCAAGUAGCGUGAAGGAUGACUGCCCUAUGGGUUGUAAACUUCUUUUAUAAAGGAAUAAAGUCGGGUAUGUAUACCCGUUUGCAUGUACUUUAUGAAUAAGGAUCGGCUAACUCCGUGCCAGCAGCCGCGGUAAUACGGAGGAUCCGAGCGUUAUCCGGAUUUAUUGGGUUUAAAGGGAGCGUAGAUGGAUGUUUAAGUCAGUUGUGAAAGUUUGCGGCUCAACCGUAAAAUUGCAGUUGAUACUGGAUAUCUUGAGUGCAGUUGAGGCAGGCGGAAUUCGUGGUGUAGCGGUGAAAUGCUUAGAUAUCACGAAGAACUCCGAUUGCGAAGGCAGCCUGCUAAGCUGCAACUGACAUUGAGGCUCGAAAGUGUGGGUAUCAAACAGGAUUAGAUACCCUGGUAGUCCACACGGUAAACGAUGAAUACUCGCUGUUUGCGAUAUACUGCAAGCGGCCAAGCGAAAGCGUUAAGUAUUCCACCUGGGGAGUACGCCGGCAACGGUGAAACUCAAAGGAAUUGACGGGGGCCCGCACAAGCAGUGGAGUAUGUGGUUUAAUUCGACGCAACGCGAAGAACCUUACCAAGGCUUGACAUAUACAGGAAUAUAUAAGAGAUUAUAUAGCUCUUCGGAGUCUGUAUACAGGUGGUGCAUGGUUGUCGUCAGCUCGUGUCGUGAGAUGUUGGGUUAAGUCCCGCAACGAGCGCAACCCUUGUUGUCAGUUACUAACAGGUUCCGCUGAGGACUCUGACAAGACUGCCAUCGUAAGAUGUGAGGAAGGUGGGGAUGACGUCAAAUCAGCACGGCCCUUACGUCCGGGGCUACACACGUGUUACAAUGGGGGGUACAGAGGGCCGCUACCACGCGAGUGGAUGCCAAUCCCCAAAACCUCUCUCAGUUCGGACUGGAGUCUGCAACCCGACUCCACGAAGCUGGAUUCGCUAGUAAUCGCGCAUCAGCCACGGCGCGGUGAAUACGUUCCCGGGCCUUGUACACACCGCCCGUCAAGCCAUGGGAGCCGGGGGUACCUGAAGUGCGUAACCGCGAGGAGCGCCCUAGGGUAAAACUGGUGACUGGGGCU
rnacentral:rRNA from 1 species